rnacentral:rRNA from 1 species
UACGUAGGGUGCGAGCGUUGUCCGGAAUUAUUGGGCGUAAAGAGCUCGUAGGCGGUAUCGAAAGUCAGCUGUGAAAUCACCAGGCUCAACCUGGUAGGGUCAGCUGAAACUUCGGUACUUGAGGGUAGAAGAGGAAAGCGGAAUUCCUAGUGUAGCGGUGAAAUGCGUAGAUAUUAGGAGGAACACCAGUAGCGAAGGCGGCUCUCUGGACUGUAACUGACGCUGAGGCACGAAAGCGUGGGGAGCAAACAGGAUUAGAUACCCCGGUAGU